rnacentral:ribozyme from 1 species
CGUGCAAGUAUGGUAGCAAAGCACCAUUCUAGCCCUCUUCUUUCCUUCCUCCAUACCUCCCACCUCCCACCUCCCACCUCCUAUUCAGUAUACGUAU